AGGAAGAAGAUUGGCAAUUGGAGAGGUGGCACUCUUCCCACUGAGCCAGAACUAAAGCAAACCUCCAGGAAUUCAACCUGCACCAGGAACAGGCUAAAUGUAAAAUUCAUUUGAGAAGCUGCUGUGAAGUAGUGUGAAAUGCUGCAUUCUCUGUGAGCACUCCAUGGUCUGCUAGAGCUUCUGAAGGGAGACAGGAUGGACUUGUGCCACUUUUCAGAGAAGAACUGGGAUGCAGGCCAGAAGUGCAGUGGUUGAGAGGAUUCACCACCCAGUGGAGCAGA